UACGAGUGCUCCAAGCGUUAUCCGGAAUCAUUGGGCGUAAAGGGUGUGUAGGCGGUUGUGUUAGUCUUCUGUUAAAUUCUUCGGCUUAACCGGGGGCAUGCAGAGGAAACGGCACAACUAGAGGAUGCGAGAGGUAAAUGGAACUCAUGGAGUAGGGGUGAAAUCCGUUGAUAUCAUGGGGAACACCGAAUGCGAAGGCAAUUUACUGGCGCACUCCUGACGCUGAGACACGAAAGCGUAGGUAGCGAAUGGG
rnacentral:rRNA from 1 species